rnacentral:rRNA from 1 species
GGCGACUUUUUGGUCUGUAACUGACACUGAGGCGCGAAAGCGUGGGGAGCAAACAGGAUUAGAUACCCUCGGUAGUCCACGCCGUAAACGAUGAGUGCUAAGUGUUAGAGGCUUUCCGGGGUCUUACAUUCCUUGAACUUACAUUAAGCACUCCGCCUGGGGAGUACGGCCGCAAGGCUGAAAUUCAAAGGAAUUGACGGGGGCCCGCCCAAGCGGUGGAGGUUUAAUCCCAAUUGGAAGCAACGGGAAGAACCUUACCAGGUCUUGACAUCUUCUGACAACCCUAGAGAUAGGGCUUUUCCUUCGGGAGCAGAGUGACAGGGACGUCAAUGUUGUCGUCAGCUCGUGUCGUGAGAAUGUUGGGUUAAGUCCCGCAACGAGCGCAACCCUUGAUUUUAGUUGCCAUCAUUAAGUUGGGCAC